UCCCUUGUUUCACUUUAAAUCGCCGCCACCUCCAUCUCCUUCUCCCCCUCCACCUAUCCUCAAAUCUCCACCUCCUCCGAGGUUUAAACUUCCUCCCUUCUUUUACUUUAAAUCCCCGCCACGUCCAUCUCCUUCUCCCCCUCCACAUAUCCUUAAAUUUCCACCUCCUUCGAGGUUUACACUUCCUCCCUUCUUUCACUUUAAAUCUAAAUCCCCGCCUUCUCUAUCUCCAUCACCUCCUUCAUCCAAUAAUUAACCUCCACCUCGUUCAAAAAUAUCUAUCAAAAUUGGUCAGUUCUUUUAACUUUCUUUGUAAUAGAUUGUUCAUUUCGAUAACAUGGUUCUUUUUUUUUUUUAAUUUACCAAUAUUUAAUCUCUAAUUGUGUUUUUUUUUUUCAGAUUAUAUAUGGUUAAUGAUGGCAGUGGGUUUCUUCGAAGAGACUUACAUAUUAUAUAAUGCAUGUAUUGAAAAUGUAAUCAGUUGAAGGAAAGUCGAUUGUGCUCCAUCAAUCAUGCCAGAAUAAUAUCAUAGAAAAUUAGUUAUUGUAAUAAUAUAUGGAUAAUAUGGAGGAAAAUAUUAUGUUUGUUGAAAAGCAUUAUAAUACUAAAUGAAUGUCUUUUAUUACAAUAAUUACUUCUUUUUUUACAAUUCUUAUCGUUAAACUUUUUACUCGUCUAAUUUCUUUGGAGAAAAACAGUAAAAGAGAAUUUAGAUAUCAGGACAAUGUUUACCUAUAUACAUUGAAGACUUUCCCACGUGAAAAUCUCAAUUAUUUGGACUUCCAGGUGUAUAAACUUGAUUAUAAUUACUUUCAUAUAUAAUUAGCGAUGUGAUUAUCGGGAAGAGUUCGAAAGGAUGGCGUCACCAUCUCGGUGUCAUCUUGUGCAUGCCAUGGUUUUCGGCUUACUAGCAAUUAACGCGGCGGCCAAUAUUUAUGAUAAUGAGGAACCUCCUAGUCCACCUCAUGAUCACGAAGAUCCACCAUUACCAUAUAAUCAUAAAAACUCUCUAUUUUGUCAAAGAACCAACUCAACCCAAAAGCUUAAGCUGUUAGGUGAGGUCCCAGGAUAUGAUUUAUAUUAUUCUCUAACACACCCCCUCAAGUGAAAGCCCUUUAGGCUUGAAACUUGCACAGGCCCACAUUACCUUGUGCUUAAUUUUUAUCAAAUAAAUGAGGAUGGUGAGAUUCGAACUCGAGACCACUUGGUCUUUAUACACAGGGGAUCAACUCGUCUUUAUACACUAAAAACACAACUAUAAAAGCAAAUCUUCACGUCCAUUCCUUGUUCAGAAGCUAAUUAGCGAGAGCAAGUGUGAUUAUCGGGAAGAGUUCGAAAGGAUGGCGUCACCAUCUCGCCGUCAUCUUGUGCAUGCGAUGGUUUUCGGCUUACUAGCAAUUAACGCGGCGGCCAAUAUUUAUGAUAAUGAGGAACCUCCUAGUCCACCUCAUGAUCACGAAGACCCACCAUUACCAUAUAAUCAUAAAAACUUUGUAUUUCAGCCAUCAGGACUUCUGAAUCGAGGAACACCGUCGCCCCCUCGAUCACAACCACCUCCAAAUAAAAAGAAAAUGCCCCCACCACCUCCAAAAAUUCAUCACCUUCAGCCGCCGCCACAAGCAAAAUCUCCACCACCACCACCACCAGCAAAAUCUCCAACAUUGCCAUCAGCUUCACCUCCGACACCAUCUUCAGCUCCUAUUUUACCUCCAUUGCCUUCUUAUAUUUCUCCAGUUACAUCCCCUUCAAAAGUUCCACCAAUUCCAUCCCCAUCCCCAUCCCCAUCCCCGGCUUCAAAUUUAUUUCCAUCUCCUCCUUAUACUUCACCAGCAUCCCCUCCAAGAAUUUCACCCAUUCCAUCACCAUCCCCAUUCCCAUCUCCUAAUUUAUCUCAAUCACAUUCACAUACUCCUCCGACAUCCCCUUCAAAAGUUUCACCAUUUCCAUCACUAUUCCCAUCCCCGCAUCUCAAUUUAUCUCCAUCCCCUUCUUAUACUUCACCAAAAAUCUCACCAAUUUCACCACUAUCCGCACCCCCAACUCCUAAUUUAUCUCCAUCACAUCCUCAUACUUCCCCGAUACCCACUCCAAAAGUUUCACCAUUUCCAUCACUAUCCCCAUCUUCGCAUCCCAAUUUAUCACCAUCACCUUCUUACACUUCUCCAAAAAUCUCACCAAUUUCACCACUAUUUGCAUCCCCAAAUCCUAAUUUAUCUCCAUCACAUCCUUAUACAUCCCCGAUACCCCCUCCAAAAGUUUCACCAUUUCCAUCACUAUCCCCAUCGCCGCAUCCCAAUUUAUCUCCAUCGCCUUCUUAUACUUCUCCCAAAAUCUCACCAAUUUCACAUCUAACCCUAUCCUCGAAUCCCAAUUUAUCUCCAUCACAUCCUUAUACUUCCCCGAUACCCACUCCAAAAGUUUCACCAUUUCCAUCAAUAUCAUCAUCCCCGCAUCCCAAUUUAUCUCUAUCGCCUUCUUAUACUUCUCUCAAAAUCUCACCAAUUUCACAACUAUCCCCAUCCCCGAAUCCCAAUUUAUCUCCAUCAUAUCCUUAUACUUCCCCGAUACCCACUCCAAAAGUUUCACCAUUUCCAUCACUAUCCCCAUCUUCGCAUCCCAAUUUAUCACCAUCGCCUUCUUAUACUUCUCCAAAAAUCUCACCAAUUUCACCACUAUCCCCACCACCAACUCCUAAUUUAUCUCCAUCACAUCCUCACACUCCUCCGACAUCCCCUCCAAAAGUUUCACCAUUUCCAUCACUACCCCCAUCAUCGCAUCCCAAUUUAUCUCCAUCGCCUUCUUAUACUUCUUAUACUUCUCCCAAAAUCUCACCGAUUUCACAACUAUCCCCAUCUUCGAAUCCCAAUUUAUCUCCAUCACAUCCUUAUACUUCCCCGAUACCCACUCCAAAAGUUUCACCAUUUCCAUCACUAUCCCCAUCUUCGCAUCCCAAUUUAUCUCCAUCGCCUUCUUAUACUUCUCCAAAAAUCUCACUAAUUUCACCACUAUCCCCAUCCCCAUCCCCGAAUCCUAAUUUAUCUCCAUCACAUCCUUAUACUCCUCCGACAUACCCUCCUAAAAUUUCACCAAUUCCAUCACAUCCUUAUACUUCCCGAUUCCCCCUCCAAAAGUUUCACCAUUUCCAUCACUAUCCCCAUCCCCAACUCCUAAUUUAUCUCCAUCACGUCCUUAUACUCCUUCGACAUACCCUCCAAAAAUUUCACCAAUUCCAUCACAUCCUUAUACUUCCCCGAUUCCCCCUCCAAAAGUUUCACCAUUUCCAUCACUAUCCCCAUCCCCAAUUCCUAAUUUAUCUCCAUCACAUCCUUAUACUCCUCCGACAUACCCUCCAAAAAUUUCACCAUUUCCUCACCUCGUUUUACUUCUCCUCCACCCCCUCCACCUAUCCUCAAAUCUCCGCCUCCUCCGUGGUUUACUCUUCCUCCCUUCUUUCCCUUUAAAUCCCCGCCACCUCUAUCUCGUUCUCCCCCUCCACCUAUCCUCAAAUCUCCACCUCCUCCAAGGUUUACACUUCCUCCCUUCUUUCCCUUUAAAUCCCCGCCACCUCCAUCUCCUUCUCCCCCUCCACCUAUCCUCAAAUCUCCACCUCCUCCGAGGUUUACAUUUCCUCCCUUCUUCCCCUUUAAAUCCCCGCCACCUCCAUCUCCUUCUCCCCCUCCACAUAUCCUUAAAUCUCCACCUCCUCCAUGGUUCUUUUUGCCUCCCUUUUUCUUUAAAUCCCCACCUCCUCUAUCUCCAUCACCUCCUU
rnacentral:lncRNA from 1 species